GCUGAGCAGACAUGGAGGCCCGCGGAACGAGGGAGGCCCGAGCCCACACGUCCCGGCCCAGCUAACCCUAACCCGGGAGCGGAUUAUUCGCAGCACCGGCGUGGGGGGGGAGACACCACGACCACCAGUCGCUCACUUGGAAGAUAAACUAUGUGGCCACCACGUUGAUACACACGAAGGGAGGACACAGAGCUAAAUAAUGUGAACACCGUUUCUGGACAAUUACACAGUUGAAGGACGGAGAAAGAGGGCUGGACAGCCGAGGAAGGGAGAGAAGCCGCCUCAAAUCAAGGAGAGCUUCACCCUCACCGUUACCCCCCCCUCCCCCCU